AAAUUGGAAUAAGUGUUUAUAACUUUGGAUAUUUACCGUCGCCAUAUUGACAGGGUGUCACGCGAGUGUGGUCUGACUAGGGGAGAGGUCUGCAGGAGUAUGAUAGUCGCCUAGACAAAUUCACGGCAAGGGAGUGCUGGAAGCGAUGGGGCCACCUGAUCGAUUUGUAUAACCAUGUGGAGCUUGAUUAUAACAAACCUCAGCUUGUCGCACGGUACGGUCAGAUUUACACGAUGCUGGAGGAUUACUCUGACCGUGUCGCAGAACGUGGGAAUGUCCCAUGGAUUAAAUUCUCAGAAGGCGAAUCCGAUUCCGACUAAAUAUGCGAAGAAUUCCGCCUCCCCCCCAUCACUAAAUAAUUAAUUUAUUAUAAUUUAUCGAACUUUAUUGUUUUUUCAAAAAAAAAAUCAAUUGUCAUUUUCUGACCAUUUGAUGUGAAUUUCAAAUAAACAUUUCUUUUCUCCA